CCUACGGGUGGCUGCAGUGAGGAAUAUUGGUCAAUGGACGAGAGUCUGAACCAGCCAAGUAGCGUGAAGGAUGAAUGCCCUAUGGGUCGUAAACGUCUUUUAUAUGGGAAGAAAACGUUCCACGUGUGGGAUUUUGUAUGUACCAUAUGAAUAAGGAUCGGCUAACUCCGUGCCAGCAGCCGCGGUAAUACGGAGGAUUCGAGCGUUAUCCGUGAUUAUUGGGUUUAAAGGGAGCGUAGGUGGAUUGUUCAGUCAGUUGUGAAAGUUUGCGGCUCAACCGUAACAUUGCAGUUGAAACUGGCAGUCUUGAGUACAGUAGAGGUAGGCGGAAUUCGUGGUGUAGCGGUGAAAUGCUUAGAUAUCACGAAGAACUCCGAUUGCGAAGGCAGUUCACUGGACUGCAACUGACACUGAGGCUCGAAAGUGUGGGUAUCAAACAGGAUUAGAUACCCGGGUAGUC
rnacentral:rRNA from 1 species